UGGUGCUCAUCUCCAUUUCUAAGCCGAAGAGCCGGUAUUGUCCAUAGACACCUCCAAGGUCAUGUGGCCGGCAUGACUGCAUGGAGGAGGCUACCGGUAUUCUAGAUUCCCAUUUAAUACUGAUGGGUUCAUCCCGGAAACGGGGAAAAAACAUUCUAGGCCAGGAUGAUACAGGAGAAGUACAGUUAACUUUCGAUAUCCUCAGAUUCUGCAUCCAUGGAUUUAACCAUCCAUGGCUUGAAAAUAUUUUGAAAAACCUUGAUUUUGCCAUUUUAUUUGAUGGAAUCAGUUUUACUACACCAAUGCAUAUAAUGGGACUUGGCAUCCACUGUUUUUGGUAUUCACAGUGAAUUCUGAAACCAAAUCUCAGCUGAUACCAAGGUCCCAUUACAACAGGCAGUGUGGCCCUUGAUUUUUCGAAAACUGUUCAAUAUAGGCUGCAUUUCAAUGGUGGACUAUACCUUUUGCCAAGCGGAAAUAGUGAAGAACCCCAUGACUGCCAGAAAGUUUUAAGAGAGUAGAUUUUCUUGUCUCAUAAUCAGGAUUAUACUAUCCCUUUCUUUCUUUUUACAUCACAGGAAAUGUAUCUGCUAUAUAUUUUUUCCUGAAAACAAAGACAGCUUUCAUACUCCAAUUGCUCUUUGAGCUGAUGAAGCUUUUGCCAAGGGUCUGAAACACCUUGAAGGCUCACAACAACAAACCUAAUUAACUUGACUAUCUCAGCAGCCAAAAGCAGACCCAGACUUCCCACUGAAAUACUGAAAUACUGGAGACAGAAAGAAUAGCCCCAUCUGAAGAUGAUAAGCAGUGAAUUUGGAACUUUGCCCAUACAAAGAAUGUGUUCUACUACCAAGCAACCUAUGGAGACCCGACCUUCCAGGAUCAAACUCCCUGGAAAUCCAUUGCCUUUUACUGCUGACGAAGGAGUCUCCACAUUUCUCAGAUUCUGCAGACGUGUUCCUUGGAAACUCUGGAGAAAUAAUCACAAAGGUCUGUUCUUCGCACUCAGACUAUAUCCUGACUAUUCCAAAGAUAUCUGGCCAUUCCAGUAAUACCAGCCAGAGCCGCCCAGAACUACUUCCUUCUCUCAGGCAGUCUAUCUUCCAUCCUACUUUUUUCAAACAUAUCCUUAAAGAAUGAAUCAUAUCCUGGAAAGGUCCAAGUAGCCUUCCACAGCCUCUUCACCUAGAUGUUAAACUAACAAUUUACUGCAUUAAAAAAGUGUCAUACCUAAUACAUCAUGUGUGAUAGCACUACAUGGGAGCAGCUUCUCAUUUGUGCACACCCAUGUCUUAAAACUAUUUUCAAGUCAAUUGGGUUCAGAUAUCACAGUGUGGGAAGUAUUUAUUUAUGGAAAUCUUUGAUGCUUAGAAGUCAUGUCACAGACAUGUGUUAUGGGUAGGAGUCACCUUGAAUAUAUUUUGUAAAGGAUUACUAUUAUAGCAGCAAGCCCCACAAAAAGGAAGCAGUUACUGUUACAGUAGAGCCCCGGUUAACUGAGCUCCGGUUAACUGAGCCUCCGUAUCAUCCGAGGCACCGCUGGGGGCGUCCCUCCCUCUCCCUCUCCUUCUCUCGAGCGAAGGGAGCAUGCGAGAAGGAGAGGGAGAAGGAGGAGCAAGCACCCCGGAAGUGCCCUGCCUCUUCCUCUCCUUCUCUUGAGCAAAGGGAGCUUGCGAGAAGGAGGGGGAGGAGGAAGCAUCCAGCAAACACUGCUGCAUCAGCGCUCGUGGGCUGCUUCCCUGGGCUGAGCCCUUGCCCCUUGGGAAGCACCCUGGGCUGCUUCCUCAGGUGCGAGGGCUUGCCGAGGAACGUCUCCCCGGAUCUCCCUUGGCCAGGCCCUUCCUGGACGAAGAAGCUUCCUUCAGCAAUGGCCUGGCCGAGGAAAACCCGCGGCAUGCUCAUUGUUUCUCAGAGGGACAGGAGCGUGCUGCGGGUUUUCCUCAGGCAGGCCAUUACUGGAGGAAACUGUUUCCUCCAUCAAGGGCCUGGCUGUCACACACCAGGGCAACGGAGCACCAAGAACCAAACACGGAGGCCAAUAAAACUAUCUAAUAUCUUUAUUAAGGAAAUAUAUAAGAAGAAUAAAAGCAAGUAGAGAAUAUAGUCCAGAAACAGACUUUUCAAAUGAGGCCUAAAAUAGUCCAGGAAUAGUUUGUCCAAUAAAUGAUAUUAGAGUUCAAAGGUAAAAUCCAAUAACCGAAACACACACUAUUGCCAGGCAAUAGUGUGGGGAAUUGUCCAAAGUCUUUCAAGGCACAAGGUAAAUCCACAAGAAGGCUGGGAAUAAGGCUUGGAUCUAGGAAACAAGGUCCGUGGUUCAAAACAAGGCAAGGUAGUCCAAAAACUUGAUUCUAAGAACAAAAUCCGUGGCUGAGAGCAAAGCAAGGCAAUUCUUGGAUACUCGAACAGGCGAGGCAAGGAAACUGGAUUGCGGACUUAGCAAAGUCCACACUAGGCUGGAAACAUGGAAUUCACUCCCGAAGCUGAGCUGUUGUCUCCGCAAAGGAUCAACAGAGCCCGAUACUUUUAUCUGGGUCUCGUUUCCCGCCAAACGGCGUCCAGCGUUCUCUUUCCCUAGAGAACAGGGAACGAAACCCAACUUGCAGGUGUGAGACUCUCUGGAUUUUCCCAGGGGAAACAUGGCUAAUCAGUGUCUUGCUUGGCAGCAAUUCGGGCACUCCUGCGAAUUCUCUCUUUCACUCCCCUAUCUGCCGAGAAGGAUUGCUUUCUAGCGAAGGGAGGUGAGCGUUGGUCAAGGUCAGUUUUAAUUGGUUCUUGGACAAGAACAUCAGGCAUCUGGAAAGACUCUGGCUGUUGAUCCGGAGAAAACCCCAUGUUUUCAUCCUCAUCUACCACAGUGACACUAGGCACAGGAUUACAAGGCCCAUGAGGCAUCACACUGGCCGAGGGAGAUCUGGGGAAUACAUGAUCUUGGAGUCCUCGUGGACAACAAGUUAAACAUGAGCCUACAAUGUGAUGCGGCAGCUAAAAAAGCCAAUGGGAUUUUGGCCUGCAUCAAUAGGGGAAUAACGUCUAGAUCCAGGGAAGUCAUGCUCCCCCUCUAUUCUGCCUUGGUCAGACCACACCUGGAAUACUGUGUCCAGUUUUGGGCACCGCAGAUGAAGGGAGAUGCUGACAAGCUGGAAAGCGUCCAGAGGAGGGCAACUAAAAUGAUUAAGGGUCUGGAGAACAAGCCCUAUGAGGAGAGGCUUAAAGAGCUGGGCAUGUUUAGCCUGCAGAAGAGAAGGCUGAGAGGAGACAUGAUAGCCAUGUACAAAUAUGUGAGGGGAAGUCAUAGGGAGGAGGGAGCAAGCUUAUUUUCUGCUGCCCUGCAGACUAGGACACGGAACAAUGGCUUCAAACUACAGGAAAGGAGAUUCCACCUGAACAUCAGGAAGAACUUCCUCACUGUGAGGGCUGUUCGGCAGUGGAACUCUCUCCCCCGGGCCGUGGUGGAGGCUCCUUCUUUGGAGGCUUUUAAGCAGAGGCUGGAUGGCCAUCUGUCGGGGGUGCUUUGAAUGCGAUUUCCUGCUUCUUAGCGGGGGGUUGGACUAGAUGGCCCUUGAGGUCUCUUCCAACUCUACUAUUCUAUGAUUCUAUGAUUCUAUGUAUUUUAAAAACCCAAAACAGGUGAUCAAGGCCGUCAAAAAUAGAGCCACAGACACACAGGUGGCUAAAUGAGAGCACAAAUGGAAAACAAUUACAAUUAGAACUCUCUGAAACCAUUUCUUUUUUCUGAUCUUUAUGAUGUUAAACAGAGCUGGAAUUUAUAGUUGGGUGAGGAGAGAGAAUAAGAAAUCUGCUUGUGUGUACAUUGAUAUAUUUGCGUGAGUGCAUAUACGAUCCAGCGUAUCUUGGAGAGAAUUAAAAAAACAAAACUUCUGCCAGAUAUCCCCUAUUCAUCUUGCGGACUUGUAAAAUCUGCUACAAAGGAAAGUGUCAGGAUGGCAGGGGACCAUUUACCGGGACUGACAGGUUUGUGUCUGGACUUGCUGUCAGGUCCCAUGUUUUUUAAACCCACUUAUUUAAUCCAAAUUUAGUUUAUGUCUGGAAGUGCCCUAAUAUACUCCCAAGUUGUUUCACAAGAGCUUUUUGUCAGUGAAUUCCAAGUACGUCAUGAAAUUACAGACAGAGCUGCAGUGGCGCAAUAGGUUAAACUCUUUUACCAGCUGAACCGCUGGUCAGCAGUUCAAAUCCGCAAGAUGGGGUGAGCUUCCAUCUAUCAGCCCCAGCUUCCCAUGCGGGGACAUGAGAGAAGCUUCCCACAGGAUGGUAACACAUCCGGGCGUCCCCUGGGCAACAUCUUUGUAGACAGCCAAUUCUCUCACACCAGAAGCGACUUGCAGCAUUUUCUCAAUUUGUUUCUGACAUGAUAAAAAAAAUGAAACCACACAUCCCAGGAUUCCAUAGGUCAGAGCAAUAAUAAUUAAAGUUCUAUCAAGCUGAUAUAAUCGUGCAUUGUAGAAGUGUUAAAAGGAAACAUUAAAAAUAAAUACACAAAGAGAGGAGAGAUUUUUGUAAUACCCAUAGGAUUAGUAAUGCUUCAGUAUGUUGCUAUUUAUGAGAAAUUUCUCUCUCUCUCUCUCACCCUUUCUUGUCUAUUUUAAAUUUUGAUUUCAGCUUAAAACAGGAAGGAGCUGGAAAGAUUGAUCUCUAAAUAUUCCUUCCCUAAGAAAUCCGAUGAGAUUCACAUGUCACCAUAGAUUGACAACAACUUGAAGUCACAAAAACCAGGAAGCAGAGGAGGUUGCACAAUAACAUUUUCAUGUGAUUUUCCUGUUGGGAAAGAUGCCAAUAAUGUUUCAGUUGGAAGGGGAUAGGAGGGAUGAGAAUGAAAGCUCUCCUGUCAAGACUCCUGUAGGUUUUACUGUCUUUAAGCCUUUUGGGAUCUGCUCUUCAAAAUACGGACAUGUGUACUGGUGGAGAAGCCGACAUGGAUGGUCUGAUAAAGAAAUAUCUAGCUGAACGAGAUUGUGUCUAUUUCACUUUUAUUGUUAGCUUCUCAGAGUGCUCUAUUUUAGAAGACAGGGCGGAGGCCAAAGCUUUCCAUCAAUUAAAAUAAUCACUUGGAAGCUGGAUGUGAUUCUACUGUGGAAUUCAGCAACCUGGCCCAAAGUGCAAUUGCAAAUAUUUGCUGCUUGAAAAUAAACCUGAUACCUACUGUUUAAUAGGUAACUUAACAUUUCUCCACAGCCAGGUAUAAAAAGCCUUUCAGAUCUGCAAGGACAGUUAAUUUUUUCUCUUUUAACUUCCAGAGAUUAACAUGGCCAGCAAAAUUGUGUAAAAUCAACAUUUUGUGAAUUCUGAACAGCAUAAAGAGGCAACUCAACCUUUGCAGAAAUUAGGGUAGUGGGAAAGGACAGUGUUUUCUUGCUUUCUUUUUUUGUACAGGAGAUAUAUAAAUCUACAGAGCUACAACUCUAAGCAUAUCUACAGUACCUGAGAUCAUGCAUCCACACUGUAGAAUGAAUGCAGUUUGACACCACUUUGACUUCUAUAGCUCAAUGCUAUAGAAUCUUGGGAGCUGUACGUUGGUGAGACACCAGUACUCUUGGGCACAGAAUGCUAAAUACUUUGUAAAAUUGCAUUGAGAUGUAGCAGUUAAAGUGGUAUCAAACUGCAUUUAUGUAGAUCAGGCAUAGGCAAACUUUGGCCCCUCACGUGUUUUGGACUUCAACUUCCACAAUUCCUAACGGCCGGUAAGCUGGAUGGGAUUUUGGGGAGUUGAAGUCCAGAACACUUGGAGGGCCAAAGUCUGCCCAUGCCUGAUGUAGAUGCAUCCUCUGUCAGGAAAGCUAAGCUUGCCUGAGGCAUAUAUAUACUGAAUUACUUGUGUAAAACAUUCUGAGUGGCAGAGAGUAUGCUUCAGUUGAAACUUCAUAGGUUUUAGGAAUAGGAAUGAUCAGUCAUUGGGUGACCCCCCACCCCCACCUCCACCCCCACACACAACCACCAGUCUAGUGUUUGUGUUUUUCUAUGCCUGGGCUGAUUUCCAAGCCAGGCAUUGAAAAAGCUAGAAACCUGACUCAGCCUUUCUCCCACUCUCAUCUCAAAUAGCAGUACAGUGAUAGUGCUGACAUGUCCAGAGAUCAUUACACUGAUUUCUGUUAUUCCCCAACAUUAUCAAGAGAUAAGCUAUGUUGUCUACUAGCAUAACUUCUUGGUUAUGGGAGCAGGUGCCUGACUGGGCUUUGUCUUGGUCGAAAUUCCCCUUCCUGACAAGUAACAGUAUCAAUCUCAUAGGAAGCAGAUGAGUUGCCUUGUUUCUAUUUGGAUGCUCUUUCUUCCUCCCACUACCUGUACUCUCAUCCCAGUCAUGGUUUCUUAGGUAUGGUGAUCCUUGAACUGUAAAAGCGCAAUGUAACCAUGGAAGGCAAACUAUGUUGUGUGAUACAUCCCAACCAAAGACACUAUUAUUCUGCCGUAACUAUGAUUUACCACCUUUGUGUGAUAAAGUCCUAAACAUCCCCUCCCUGCUGUUCCUGAAGGGGAUGAACAGCCACACAGUGUGUGCAUCAAUACUGCAUUGAUAAGAGUAUGAUGGAUGGUUCUUCUACUCAGCAGAUGGUGAGAGCAUUGUACCAAAAAGGUAAAGGGAGAGGUCCCUGAAUCAAAUAUUUAGAGCUUAUACCCUGAACAUAAUUAUCACAUACUCUAAGGAUUCAGAAAGACUGCUUUAGCAAACCUUCUUGGAAAAUAAAGCUGUGAAUAUGCAAGUUUCAAAUCAGUCCCCUUAUUGGUGAAGGGGAAUGUGUGUGUGUGUGUGGGGGGGGGGAGUAAUUUCCAACUCUCCUGAUUGUUGUAAGGCACAGCAAGUAGUUUACAAAUAAAAAGUGGCAAAUUAAAAUGAUUGAUAAGGAUGAUAAUCUGACAGAAAGUGGGACACAUUGAUGUCUCAUUUACUGCAAGAUGCAGAAUGAUUUCAGAGCAGAUCUUUUUGUCAUCAGCAUGAAGAUAAAUUGCCUCUG